rnacentral:rRNA from 1 species
AUUGAACGCUGGCGGCAUGCCUUACACAUGCAAGUCGAACGGUAACGGGCCUUCGGGUGCCGACGAGUGGCGAACGGGUGAGUAAUGUACCGGAACGUACCUUUCAGUGGGGGAUAACGUAGCGAAAGUUACGCUAAUACCGCAUAUUCUGUGCGCAGGAAAGCAGGGGAUCGCAAGACCUUGCGCUGAUUGGGCGGGCAAAAUCAGAUUAGGUAGUUGGUGAGGUAAAGGCUAACCAAGGCGACGAUCUGUAGCGGGUCUGAGAGGAUGAUCCGCCACACUGGAACUGAGACACGGUCCAGACUCCUACGGGAGGCAGCAGUGGGGAAUUUUGGACAAUGGGGGCAACCCUGAUCCAGCCAUGCCGCGUGAGUGAAGAAGGCCUUCGGGUUGUAAAGCUCUUUCGGCCGGGAAGAAAUCGUAUCAGCUAAUACCUGGUGCGGAUGACGGUACCGGCAUAAGAAGCACCGGCUAACUACGUGCCAGCCGCCGCCGUAAAAC